CGAUGGUCAUUUCACCUGCAACCGGUCUGGAGAAAAGUCUGCUAGGAAAAUAACAAAGAUGGAGGCAACUGUUAGGGUGAAAUAUAAGGACAGAAAGAAGUACUUCUUCCUAACAUCACCUUUUAAAUUCGAAGUCUUUUUGGAAAGUGUUGCCAAGAAGUUUGAUCUACCCACCCUGGAUAUUAAAGUCUAUGAUGAAACCAGGACCGAAAUCGAUGAUGAGGCAUUCGAAUACAUUCUAAAACAACAGGAUAUUGGGGUCUUAGAAAUUGGGAUCCCAACAGCAAGUGCUGAUGAUUCCUUCAGUUCUAGCACGAUUGGGGAUGGUGAGGCUUCCUUCAGUUCUGGUACACUUGGCGAUGGUGAGCCUUCAUCAGGAUCUGAUGACACAGCAAUCGUGAUCAGAAAUCCCUCAGAAAAAA